rnacentral:rRNA from 1 species
CCUACGGGAGGCAGCAGUGGGGGAUAUUGCACAAUGGGGGGAACCCUGAUGCAGCGACGCCGCGUGGGUGAAGAAGCGUUUCGGUGCGUAAAGCUCUAUCAGCAGGGAAGAAGAUGACGGUACCUGACUAAGAAGCCCCGGCUAACUACGUGCCAGCAGCCGCGGUAAUACGUAGGGGGCAAGCGUUAUCCGGAUUUACUGGGUGUAAAGGGGGCGUAGACGGCAGUGCAAGUCAGGAGUGAAAGGCCAGGGCCCAACCCUGGGACUGCUUUUGGAACUGUAUGGCUAGAGUACAGGAGAGGCAGGUGGAAUUCCUAGUGUAGCGGUGAAAUGCGUAGAUAUUAGGAGGAACACCGGUGGCGAAGGCGGCCUGCUGGACUGUGACUGACGUUGAGGCUCGAAGGCGUGGGGAGCAAACAGGAUUAGAUACCCGAGUAGUC